rnacentral:rRNA from 1 species
GAUGAACGCUGGCGGCGUGCCUAAUACAUGCAAGUCGAGCGAACGGACGAGAAGCUUGCUUCUCUGAUGUUAGCGGCGGACGGGUGAGUAACACGUGGAUAACCUACCUAUAAGACUGGGAUAACUUCGGGAAACCGGAGCUAAUACCGGAUAAUAUUUUGAACCGCAUGGUUCAAAAGUGAAAGGCGGUCUUGCUGUCACUUAUAGAUGGAUCCGCGCUGCAUUAGCUAGUUGGUAAGGUAACGGCUUACCAAGGCAACGAUGCAUAGCCGACCUGAGAGGGUGAUCGGCCACACUGGAACUGAGACACGGUCCAGACUCCUACGGGAGGCAGCAGUAGGGAAUCUUCCGCAAUGGGCGAAAGCCUGACGGAGCAACGCCGCGUGAGUGAUGAAGGUCUUCGGAUCGUAAAACUCUGUUACUAGGGAAGAACAUAUGCGUAAGUAACUGUGCACAUCUUGACGGUACCUAAUCAGAAAGCCACGGCUAACUACGUG